UACGGAGGUCUCAAGCGUUGUUCGGAUUCAUUGGGCGUAAAGGGCGCGUAGGCGGUGGGGUAAGUCUGGUGUGAAAUCUCGGAGCUCAACUUCGAAAUUGCACUGGAUACUGCUCUGCUAGAGGGCUGGAGAGGAGAUCGGAAUUCACGGUGUAGCAGUGAAAUGCGUAGAUAUUGUGAGGAAGACCAGUGGCGAAGGCGGAUCUCUGGACAGCUCCUGACGCUGAGGCGCGAAGGCUAGGGGAGCAAACGGG
rnacentral:rRNA from 1 species